rnacentral:rRNA from 1 species
GAUGAACGCUGGCGGCGUGCCUAAUACAUGCAAGUCGAGCGAACGGACGAGAAGCUUGCUUCUCUGAUGUUAGCGGCGCACGGGUGAGUAACACGUGGAUAACCUACCUAUAAGACUGGGAUAACUUCGGGAAACCGGAGCUAAUACCGGAUAAUAUUUUGAACCGCAUGGUUCAAAAGUGAAAGACGGUCUUGCUGUCACUUAUAGAUGGAUCCGCGCUGCAUUAGCUAGUUGGUAAGGUAACGGCUUACCAAGGCAACGAUGCAUAGCCGACCUGAGAGGGUGAUCGGCCACACUAGAACUGAGACACGGUCCAGACUCCUACGGGAGGCAGCAGUAGGGAAUCUUCCGCAAUGGGCGAAAGCCUGACGGAGCAACGCCGCGUGAGUGAUGAAGGUCUUCGGAUCGUAAAACUCUGUUAUUAGGGAAGAACAUAUGUGUAAGUAACUGUGCACAUCUUGACGGUACCUAAUCAGAAAGCCACGGCUAACUACGUG